AGUGUGGUGGCCGAGCGGUUAAGGCGUUGGACUUAAGUUCCAAUGAACAUUAGUCCUCGUGGGUUUAAAUCCCACCCACACUA
rnacentral:tRNA from 1 species